GGUUCGAUCUGGCUCAGGUCGGAACGCUGGCGGGAUGCUUUACACAUGCAAGUCGAACGGCAGCACGGACUUCGGUCUGGUGGCGAGUGGCGAACGGGUGAGUAAUGUAUCGGAACGUGCCUAGUAGCGGGGGAUAACUACGCGAAAGCGGCGUAGCUAAUACCGCAUACGCCCUUCGAGGAAAGCGGGGACCUUCGGGCCUCCGCCCACUAUUAAAACGGCCGAUAUCGGAUUAGCUAGUUGGUGGGGUAACGGCUCACCAAGGCGACGAUCCGUAGCUGGUUUGAAGGACGACCAGCCACACUGGGACUGAGACACAUCCCAGACUCCUACGGGAGGCAGCAGUGGGGAAUUUUGGACAAUGGGGAAACCUGAUCCAGCCAUCCCGCGUGUGCGAUGAAGGCCUUCGGGUUAUCAAAGCACUUUUGGCGGAAGAAACGGCACGGGAUAAUACCCCGUGCAACUGACGGUACCUGCAGAAUAAGCACCGGCUAACUACGUGCCAGCAGCCGCGGUAAUACGUAGGGUGCAAGUGUUAAUCGGAAUUACUGGGCGUAAAGCGUGCGCAGGCGGUUCGGAAGAAAGUCAUGAAAUCCCAGAGCUUAACUUUGGAACUGCAUUUUUAACUACCGAGCUAGAGUGUGUCAGAGGGAGGUGGAAUUCCGCGUGUAGCAGUGAAAUGCGUAGAUAUGCGGAGGAACACCGAUGGCGAAGGCAGCCUCCUGGGAUAACACUGACGCUCAUGCACGAAAGCGUGGGAGCAAACAGGAUUAGAUACCCUGGUAGUCCACGCCUAAACGAUGUCAACUAGCUGUUGGGGCCUUCGGGCCUUGGUAGCGCAGCUAACGCGUGAAGUUGACCGCCUGGGAAGUACGGUCGCAAGAUUAAGCUCAAGGAAUUGACGGGGACCCGCACAAGCGGUGGAUGAUGUGGAUUAAUUCGAUGUAACGCGAAAAACCUUACCUACCCUUGACAUGUCUAGGAUCCCGAAGAGAUUUAGAGUGCUCGCAAGAGAACCGGAACACAGGUGCUGCAUGGCUGUCGUCAGCUCGUGUCGUGAGAUGUUGGGUUAAGUCCCGCAACGAGCGCAACCCUUGUCAUUAGUUGCUACGAAGGGCACUCUAAUGAGACUGCCAGUGACAAACCGGAGGAAGGUGGGGAUGACGUCAAGUCCUCAUGGCCCUUAUGGGUAGGGCUUCACACGUCAUACAAUGGUCGGGACAGAGGGUCGCCAACCCUGAGAGCCAAUCCCAGAAACCCGAUCGUAGUCCGGAUCGCAGUCUGCAACUCGACUGCGUGAAGUCGGAAUCGCUAGUAAUCGCGGAUCAGCAUGUCGCGGUGAAUACGUUCCCGGGUCUUGUAUACACACCGCCAAAUCACACCAUGGGAGUGGGUUUUACCAGAAGUAGUUAGCCUAACCGUAGUAAGGAGGGCGAUUACCACGGUAGGAUUCAUGACUGGGGUGAAGUCGUAACAAAGGUAG
rnacentral:rRNA from 1 species